GUGUUCAUCAAAGAAAAAAGAUAUUCAACUGUAUAUAUCAGAGCAAUUGCUGGACAAUGGCAGAAGCUGUAGCCGAGGUAUCAUGCACCACUUUGUUGAAUUUGGUGAGGGGCGAUUUCCCAUGGAAAUUGGCUUCACAUAAAUCGGCCUCAUUUGCUGCAUCAUUUGCUCCAUCUUGGGCAAAUUUGGGAUCACCUUUCUGCAAAGCUUCAACUGCUUCUGGGAUAUCUGCCGUUAAAAUUGCGUCGUAAUUAUCCGCACAAUAACUCAAGGGUUUCUUUAGCCCUGGCCUCCUCUGAAUCAGCUGGUUGAUGAAGUGAAGUGACAUGGUUGCUUUUGCCUUUACUAUGUUGACCAUUAUGAGCGCUAGCCCACGGACGUCUGCUUUGAAGCUUCUAGGGUCUGAGCUGAGACAACUGACGCACAGGUUGUAGUAUGGUGUCUGCUUGCAAGUUUGAGAUAUCAUAUUGGCAUCAGAUUGCGCAACACUGAACUGGGUUAUUAGCAAAAACAUAGUCAAGAGAGGAACAUGACCAAGAAAGAUGGAAGUUAGAGUUCCAGAAAUCUUCAUCAUUCAAAGAUUGAAUAAGAACAUGGGAAUAAAGAUUAUAAAGGACUGGGUUUUGCUUGGUUAAUUGCUGAACUGGUAGGCCUUU
rnacentral:misc_RNA from 1 species